AACGUAGGAGACAAACGUUAUCCGGAGUUACUGGGCGUAAAGGGCGUGUAGGCGGACUGUUAAGUCUGGCGUGAAAGCUCCCGGCUAAACCGGGAGAGGUCGUUGGAUACUGGCAGACUAGAGGAUGGUAGAGGCGUGUGGAAUUCCGGGUGUAGUGGUGAAAUGCGUAGAGAUCCGGAGGAACACCAGUGGCGAAGGCGACACGCUGGGCCAUACCUGACGCUAAAGCGCGACAGCAUGGGGAGCAAACGGG
rnacentral:rRNA from 1 species